CUGAAUAUGACACUCCAAAAAAUAUAAAGGGCCUACGGGGAGAUCCAGUAGUUAACUCUGCACUUGGGAAGCACCUGCUCUGCAGUCAGAGGAAAGAAAAAGCCACUUAUGCAGCAUGAUGCAUUUCUUCUUGGAGUGAAUAAAUACAAGGAGAUGAGUUGUGCUCCAGAAAUGCUCAUUUCUCUCCACUCUCAUGACCACAAGGAACACAAUAUCGGCCAGCCAAAGCAGGUAUCUAAGCAGCUUCAGAGCAUCUGAUGGUUUGCAUCAUGCUGAGUGAAAUGGGAAAUUGCUACUGCUAAACUAGAGGAGCCAUUUAUGGCAGCUAACAAGAUAGAGCAAAGCGGCGUCUUUGGGGAAAGGAAAAUGGGAGAGAGACCCAGCCUGUGUUGCCUUGGGUUCUGAAGCCUUCCCAUGAAAAGAAAGGCAGAGGCAUGUCAGUCGUGGAGGAUGCAGCCCCCAUGGAUGCAGCCUACGUAGAUGUCUGUCUGUACAGGCACGGACAGAGCAGCACAGCCAAGCUCCAGAAGGCAAAGGACCGUUUUGCUGUGUGGCGUUAGUGAGUCGAUGGGACAUUUCAAAGCGACAUUUAUUCUUGGACGCUUGUUAUUCAAGCAACGAGUAACUUACGCCGCUGGAAAGGGUUCUGCAGUAUUUCAGGUGUUCUCCCCCCCAGCACAAGUUACGCGCAGACUUCGUCUGGCUCGAGGCAUCGGUGUCAAGGUAGCGUAACUGCGUGGAUUUUACAGCAAUAUUCCAGGGUGACAGGCAGGUUGCUGAGAGCUGAGCACGACUUCUGAUCUCCUGCUGACCGGGUAGGUGUUCGAGUUCAGUUCUAUUGCUUUUUUCUUUCACAAGUACGUGGUUCUCCUGGAUGCUUUAUUAUCGAGUUCUAGCAAAUAAAUAAAUAAAUGAAUGAAUAAAUACAUAUGAAUAAGAUACCAGAGAAAAGCAGAACAUUUAUAAUUUAAGAAUAAAUAAUAAAGUUGCUGGAGGGUAAAAAUACCAUGAAAAUUAUUAACAACAGUGGUAAUGCCUAUUUAAAAUGGUAAUGAAAAGCAGUCUGCUCUGUAACUAAACUAUUAAAUAAAGGCCCAAACAACAUUUUCAAUCAAACCAACACCACCGGUAUUACUUAGCUUGCGCAGAGUUUACCUGAGGACCUGGUAUUUUGCUUUCCUGCUUAUUGCGUUCUAAAGAAGUGUCUGGCAGACUCAUAAAGUUCACAGACACCAUCUGAUGCUCUUCUCUGACCACUGGUUUUGUCGGAGUCGCACCAGAAGAAAUCUUUUCUUAUAGGAUGAGCAAGCCUAUUAAAUACAGAGUGGGGACCAAAACUGAAACUGGAAGCUGCUGGUAUUUAAUAAAAUGGUCACGUACUGGUCGCAGCAGUGUCGGUAUGUGUUUUGCCAUUGGUUUGAAGGGAGCAGGAUCUGGAACGUGGUACGUUUUGUUGCAGGGCAUGGCCAAGCACGCUACAAUUUGCGGGUCUACUCAACCUCUAAGAGGCAUCUAAAAAGUGCUGCAAUGCUAUUUAUUGUCUUUCGUAAGGUCGUGCCUCCUUUGUGCUUGUGGAUGGCGUGGGAUGGUGCCUUGCGCCGUGCCUGGCUGCCCCGGCUCCCCUGCCCUGCGGGGCAGCCCCUGGAUUUGCCGGGAUUUGCCGGACGCUUACGGUCUUGUUCUGGUUUUUCAACAGGUUAACGCAAAAUGGAAGCGUCUUCAUCUGUAUAUUGGUACCUGGGUAGAAGCUGGGUUGUCUCGGGCUUCAGAGUUCUCUUGUCGCCGUGCUCUGAGUAACUCCAGCAAGACGUGGCUCAAAAAAAGCAAGGACGAAAAGCUGGAAAGAGAGCUCUUUUGGCUUUAGUUAGUGCUGUUCAAAGCCUGGGCAUUUGGAACUGAACAUUUGGACUUUGCAUUGUCUGAUUUUCUUCCCUGUAGCCAGUCUCCCUCCUCCCCUCAUGCGAUAAUUUGCAUUAUGGUCUUUUUUCCCAUCCAGUCCCCUCACUGUUUUGGUUUUUUUUUUUUUUUUUUUUUAAUGAGAGCUGGUGCAAUUUAUCUCAAAAUACUUGAAGCAAAGAUGAAUCCAGCUUUAAAGGACUCGCAGGGGUCUGCCACAGGGGGCCCAAGUGUUUGCAGAAAGCAGAGAGUCUCCAAGCAGAUGUUGCUGCUCCUCCAGCAAUGUGCAUGGAUAUUAGGAAAUGUAUUCUCUUUGUAGCUUCUUCCUAAAAGGCAACCGCUAAAAGUAAGGUGGCAUUAACUGGUUUUAGUAGCAAAAACCAGAAAGUGAACGAUGGGGAGCUGAACGGACUCAAGCAACGAGUUGCAAGAGGCCCAGAGAAGAAGGGUGCCGCGGCAAGAGGUGACGGACCGGAUGAAAUCGGAAUCCUUCGGCGACCGAGACUCUGCAAAAGCUUUAGAGACUCUACGAUGUAAAGAGGUCGCGCGGAUGGAAGACGCGUUCUAUCUAUCUCAUCGCAGUUUUCUUAGCAAA